AUGGCGCUCUCCGUCUCCUCCCUCGCAUCGGCCUUCUCCCACCUCUCCCUCCCCUCCACCUCCGCUCCCCACCCGCCCCCUCUCCUCCGCCUCCCCACCACCCGCCGCGCCGCUCGCCUCGUCCUCUUCGCCUCCGGGGCCGACGCCGCCGAGCCGGUCCUCGAGGCGGAGGCGCCUGCCGCCGACGACGGCCCCGAGGAGGUGCUCGCGGUUGAGGCCGAGGAGGACGCGCUCUCCGGGCUGGCGCUGCGCAAGUACGUGAAGCAGCGGCUGCCCGGGGGAUUCGCCGCGCAGCGGAUCACCGCCACGGGCCGCCGGAAGAUGGCGUCCGCCCGCGUCGUGCUCCAGGAGGGCACCGGGAAGGUCUUCAUCAACUUCCGCGACGCCAAGGAGUAUUUGCAAGCGAAUCCGAUGUGGGUGGAGUAUUGCAAGAUCCCCCUGGUGACUCUAGGGUUUGAGAACAACUACGACGUCUUCGUGAAAGUUCAGGGAGGUGGCCUCUCAGGCCAGGCCCAGGCGAUCUGCCUCGGUGUGGCGCGUGCGUUGCUGAAGAUCAGCCCCGCCAACAGAGUUCCCCUGAGGUCAGAAGGCUUGCUGACGAGAGACACUCGCGUCGUCGAAAGGAAGAAGGCGGGUCUCAGGAAGGCGCGCAAGCGUCCCCAGUUCUCCAAGCGUUAA
rnacentral:rRNA from 1 species